ACUUAAUAAUCCUCAAUAGUACUGAAUAGAACCUAGCAUAACAAAAUACACCCUCUAUCAAAACAGAUACAAAAACAAUACACCAAACAGCUCCAACACAGCUGCGCAGAAACAGCAGUUCUCAUCCAACAUUAUACGUCAAAUUACUUCUAGCUAUAGCAUCCCCCCAAUGGCCAAUAAGGCCCCCUGGUAACAGACACCUAGCUAUAGCAGACCUCCCAUUUCUACUACUGCAAACCAUAUUCCAAACAAGCAAAUGUUUAAUGACAAACAACAACAGCAGACCAGGAAACAACUCACAUAGGUAACUUAAAUGGCCAAAUGAAUAAAUUUAUAUUUAACUUUUUGAAAUUUAGCAUAAGAAUACAGCCUACAAUUAAUUAAAUUCCGAGUGAUUUGCACAAUAGAUUUGGCCGGGAGGGAAAUAUUAUCAUGUAGUCUAUUAUUGGGCUAAAUCCAUAAAUUGUAGACUACCACUGCAAAAGUCAGGUGGAUCAGGUGAAACUGGACCUUACCACUCGUGCAGGAACCCAAGAACCUUGUAAUGUCAGCCUAGGUACGACUCAAACCUCUUCAUCCACAAUCUUAAGACCAAGACAAGAACUUGCAAGGAGUAAGGACACUGAAAGAAGAGAUGCUUAAAACUCAGGAGUAACAGCACAGAGUAGGCAGGAAGGGUCCAUAACCAUUCCAUAAUUAAUAAGUCAAUCUUUCGUUCGAAGCCCUUUGUGAAAUCCCAUCCAAAGGAAAAAAGAGUACCGAGGAGGAAGACAGUUAUGCCAAACAGUUUUGUACCAGUCAAUGUUGAGCCCACACUUUCUACUGGAGCCCCAGAUUGAUGCCACUUUAAUCUCUCUAAUAUUGAAUGAUUCCC
rnacentral:lncRNA from 1 species